UUAAAAUUGUGAUUCAUCACUUUACAUUUCAGGGGGUUUUCCUGGUCCUGCUUGGUAUCUGCAGGGAAGUGUGCAAUCUGGGACUAGCAGUAGUCAGUCUGGAAAGAGCCAUCCUACAACAAGGUGGGGGUUUUUUCCUGGUCCCGCUUGCUGUCCGUAAGGAAGCGUUCAAUCUGGGCCUAGCAGCAGUCAGUCUGGAAAGAGCCAACCUGGAACAAGGUGG